GAAAACAUGAGUAAUCAGCAGCACCUGAUAUGCAGAGAUCAUUAUUAUUGCUUUCUUGAGAAAAAAUACUUAAAAAAUCUCACAAUGCAUUCACUAGGUUCCUCUAAACAUUCAAAGCAGGUUAAAGAACAAAAGAAAAGAGAUGUAAAGAGAACAUCAGCAAAAGCAUUGUACAGUAUAGUUAAUCAGCAUUAUUUACAGCUCCCAGAAAAAGAAAAACAAUCAUUGGCAAAAUAUGACUUCUAAUGUUUACGGUUGACAUAUUUGCUACAGGAAUGAUGUUCUAGGCUAAAAGAAACAAUGUACACACAUGCAUGCACAAAGGACAUGGAGAAGGGGAAGAUAGAGACCAAGUGGAAUGCAAUGAACAGUGCUGCAAAGGGAUGAAUUUUUAGAACAUAUGGAAUUAGCCACCUCCGUGAGAUAUAACAGUGACCUAAUACCUUCAGACACCAAUAAACACAGAUUUUACACCCCAUCUCAAGUGGCCCCACAACCCUCGCUAACCCUCAUGAUCUAUUUUACAAUCUGCAAUAUUCAAUAAUCAUCAGCAUCAUUUGUGAAACAUUUCACAAGUAUCACAACCACUGCACUAGCAGAUCUACAUGGGGAAAAAAAAUUUAAUGCCAUCAUAUAAUGAAAAAUCAGUAGCACUGGUCAUGACCAAUAACUACUGUCUAUCCCAUUAACUGAACAACAGUCACAGCUGCAAUUGCAGUUAGGUCAAAGACAUAAUGUAACCGUCAUGACCAUUGGGGCACAAUUUAAGACCCAGAAAGUGCAUCAAAUGCAUUGGUCUACAAGAUUUGACUAAAAGUUAAAUGAGCAACUAAAAUAUUAGCACAAAAUGGUAAGAAAUGUAUAUUCAUAAUUUUUAAUCAUUACCUAUCAACUAUGUCCAAGUAAAAAACAAAGUAAUAUGAGAUUGAAAAUCUAACAACAAUUAGCACACAUGCAUCCCAAAAGGUACUACAAACACAGUAAAUAUUUAACAUGCAUUUUUCAAAGAAAAGAUUUUAAAAAAAUGCAACACUGUGAGCUAUUUAAAAUGAAGAAAACUUUUAAUAUGUUAGGCUUAGCCAAAGCAGACACCAAAAUAAAUUUAAAACCCUUGAAUGUAAACUGAAUCUGAUUAACUUUUUUUUUUUUUGCUUCUGGCCAGCACAAUCAAAUUAGAUAUUUGAGGUUGUAAGAGGCUUCAAUGUUCCAACCUUUUCCAACAUAUGCUGGCUAGCACAAUCAAACUAUAUAUUUGAAGUUGUAACUUGUAAGAGGCUUCAAUGAUUACAUGCACCUUUCUUUCUUUUUUCUUUUUUUU
rnacentral:misc_RNA from 1 species